UCCCUGUUAGUUUUUUUUUCUAUUUUGGUCCAAUUGGUCCCAUACUUGGACCCUAUCCAAACAAGACAAAUAGCCAACAGGUUCUUCACCAUUUGCAGGAUUAUUGCAUCCCCUUGUCUGGGUACAAUGGAUCUAUGACUAUGAGAAGCCAUACCAAAACCUUAUCUUCACUGUCUUAUCAUGGUUAAUAUGGCCUUUCAUGAACUAAUGUUCAAAUACAGGGCAAAAUAGUCUAUAGAAGUUUAAGACACAGCCCCCUCAGCCCCAGGUUUUUGCUAGUUGCUAAAACAUUAUCCAUCAGUCCAUGCUCUUCAAUCUUCACAUGAAAGGAUUUAUAUAAAUACAUGACUCAGCAUUACAGCAUUCCAACAUCUUCAGAACCAUAUUUGAACUUGUCUUCUCAGAAGUCUCACUUCUUGAAGAGAACUUGUCUUAUAUUGUAUUUUCAGCAAAAAUCUCAAAAGUAUCCUCUGAAGUUCAGCACUUAGAUAUUAGAUAAACAAGAAAAUGAGUUCAACAAGCAGGGCUUGGAUAGCAGCACUGGGUGUGGGAGCAGUCCAGGCAAUGAGAUAUCAGGGAUUGUUCAGGUGGAAUCACACCAUAAGGUCAAUCCACCUGCAUGCCAAGAACAACCUCAGGUCCUUGUCUCAAUCCAAGCAGCUUUCUUCUUCUGCAUUUGUCUCAUCAAGGAAUAAAGCUGAAGAUCAAGAAAAACUAAAGGAGGCUGAAGAUUCAUUGAGGAAAGUCAUGUACUUGAGCUGCUGGGGACCAAAUUGAUUGAGCCCUCCAAAAGUAGUACUAGUUUGUAGUUGUUAGAUAUAGGAGGUGAUGUAAAGUUGAAGAUUUUGGUAAUAUUCUGGCUAAAAAAAUUGUAAAUUCUAAUAUUUAAGGCCUGCUAUGCCAAAUGAAUUGGAAUAGAAAAUUCAUGCCUUUUUUCAAAUAUAAUCUCUGUUAAUUUUUCUCAACUAAAUAUAUUGCAUUAGCCAUUGGAAUCUUGCGGAACGCAGAGUGGGAGAACCAACAAAGUGGACCAGUCGAGGCAGCCAUACUUCCAAAAUUCAUUUAUUUUCCUUUUCAAGAAAUGCUUAUUUUCAUAUAUGUCCUUAAAAUAAUAACAAAUAUAGUCCUUUUCACCAAAAUUUUCUCAAAAAUAUAAUAAUUAAGCUCCAAAAGCGAACCCCCUACUCCAAAAUGAGCGGUAUAGAAGCAAAUGAAUUUUUCCGAUGUUCUUUUUUUUUUUUUUUUUUGAAAGAAUUGCUAUGUUGUUGAAGGAAUUAAGCUCCAAAAGAGAACCCCUAUCUCAGUGUUUGGGUACCUAUGACAACUAACAAGUUACAAAACCAUGUGCUUAUUGUCAUUGUCAACUAUAACUAAUGUGUUUAUUUUUAUUUGUUAAGUAUCAUAACAUACUUAAAGAAGCACUCAAGACUAUUUCUUGUACAUGGAAGUCUAUGGUGGCAAUUCUCUUAAAAUUGACCCAACAUAACCACACAGAUGCUGCUCUGUUGUUGAGUGUUCUUUCUCCAUUUUAGAUUUUUCCCUUCAGUUUUUAAACAUUUUUCUACCCAACCCUCCCUCCCCCCCCCUCCCCAUUUAGUCUGUGGAUUCGGAGUUUCUGCACUCACCAAUAUCAAUUACAGUACACAAUGUAGACACUAUCACAAUAAAUAUAGGCAUUAACAUAUUAAAUAUAGAUACCAAGGGUGCGUUUGAUAAAACUGACAAUCUAAAACCUGAAUCCAUUAAGUUAUUGAAUUGUUAAAUAUUAAAUAUAAUACAUUUGAGUCUAUAUUACAUUUAGUGAUAAGUAAAUAACUUAUUAUUUAAUUUUCGGGGCAAGUUUUGCCUAGAAGAUUCAGUACAACUUAAUUAAUUCAGAUGUUUAAUUUUUAGUUAUCAAACGCGUCUGAACAUAUUAAGAUCUGAAUUUAUUAAGUUUAAGUGCUGAAUUGGGUUAUCAAACAAGGCCUAAGUUAGUAACAAGCAAAUCAUAAAAAAUUUUAGUGUUGAUUGAAAUUUGUGUUGCAAAAUUAAUCCCACAUCCAAAUUCAAAUUAAACCAAUAUGGGCUAGCAAUAGCAUGGUGCUAUUGAUUAACAAUUGUAGAAGUCCAAUUUCCUAAUUGUAGCAUAGAUGUCCACCUUAGACUUCUCCCUCCUGACUGUAAAUAGAAUAGAAUUCUCGUCCCAGAGAAAAUCAUAAACGUACACUGGAUAUAUACUUUGCUAACCAAGUAUGAAUAAAAUAUACAUAAAAAUGAAGUUGCAUUCAAAUGAAAUUAGUCUUCUACACACGUGACAUGGGUGCGAAUAAUCAGUAUUCUAAUAAUUUAUUACCCUCUCAAUGCUAAGUGAAGAAGAAGAUAGCAUUGGAUCACCAAAAAAAAAAAAAUUACAAUUUCUUCUUUUCUUUGCAUUGUUUGGUAAAAUAGGGAAAUAAAUAAUUCAAAAAUAGCCCACUUUACAUGUGGAUUACCACACCCUCCAAAGCCGGAAAAUGCCACAGCCCACCAUAAAAAAAAUCCCUGUAGCUGUUUUUGGAUUUGUUUUUGGAAGGUUUUUGGUUUGCAACAAUGCAUUUACACAAACACACAGAAACUCUAGAGAUGACAGAAUAUAAAUAUGACUUAACAUCCCAAUAGCUUCUGCAUCAAACACUCCUGAAAAAUCAAUCUGAAAACAUCUCUAGACUCUUAAACACUUCAUCAUCAACGAGGAAUUAAUCUUUCAGUUCUGCUACCUUCUUGCUGAAGAUGAGUUCAACAAGCAGGGAAUGGAUAGCAGCAGUAAGUGUAGGAGCAGUGGAGGCAAUGAAAGAUCAGGGAUUGAGUAGGUGGAACCACACAAUGAGAUCAAUGCACCAGCUUGCCAAGAACAACCUCAGGUCUUUGUCUCAGAACAAGCAGCUCUCUCCUGCACUGGCUUCAUCAAGCAGUAAAGCUAAAGAUCAAGAAAAGCUAAGGAGGUCUGAAGAGUCAUUCAGGAAAGUCAUGUACCUGAGCUGCUGGGGACCAAAUUGAUCGAGCCCCACCACUAAAACUACUAGGCAGUUUGUAAUUUUAAGAUACAUGGGGUGAUGUAAAACUGGAAAUUUUGGUAAUUUCCUAGCUACAAAAUUGUAAAUUUAAAAUUUGAGGCCCUUUUUUGCAAUGAAUUUGAAUAGAAAAUCCAUUUCUUUGUUAAAUUACGGGUUCUGUUAUUAUUCCUUAACUAAAUUAAUUGCAUUAGCAUCUCACGGAGCAGCAGAACUGCUUCAUUUUCCUUUUCAAGAAAUGCGUAAAUAUCCUUCAAGUAAUAAGAAUUAUUGUCCAUUUCACCAAAAAUUUCUCAAAUGCACGAGUAAACUCCAAAAAAGAAUGUUGUUUCUUUUUUUUUCCCCCGGUUGAAUCUAGAACGUUGUUGAUACUUGAUUGGUUAAUAUAUAGGAGCUAUCUAAACGGAGAGAAAAUACUCUCAUAUGUAAAUCCAAGACUUAGAUAGACUACAGAAAGUGUUACUUCUGGCGCAUACUACGUCUCCGUCCCAAAAUUCUAACAAGACAAAUGGCCAUUGGCCAACAGCUUCUUUGUAAUUCCAAGUUGCUAUCGCACUGUCUGGGUACAGUGCACCUAUUACAACUAACUAGUUAUAAAACCGGGUGCUCAUUCAUUGUCAACCAUGUACAGCUAGUUUUGUUAUGUUCACUCCCAUAGAUGUGAUUAACUACCGCAUUACAGGGGAAGCAUUACAAUGAUGUAUUUAGCCCAACUCGGGUAGCUCGAGUGAUUUCGUUGCUCCUCUUUAGAAUAUGGCGACCACGGUUUGAGUCCCGAGGAAAUCGUGUUCGAAAGGAACGGGUCUCUCUUCUCGGGUCACAGGAGGAGUAGUAGGGCCGAAGGCCCGGAUACCCCUAGAUCAGAAAAAAAAAAUUACAAUGAUGUAUUUAUCUGAUUUGGAGGUUCGCUCUCCAACUCUUUUGCAAUGGAGUAUUGUGCUUCCUUUCUUUAUAAAAUUCAGAGCACAGUAAUGCAUUUAUCUGAAUUGGAGGUUUGCUCUCCAACUCUUAUACAAAUCCAGUUAGGCUCAUCCUCUCUCUUAUAGUGUAGCAGCAGUCUUCAUCGUUGUAUCCAAAAUUAAUCUCUUUUAUUCAAAUUCAAAUUAACCUGAUAUGCUCCAUCGAUUGCUUGCUUGGUGCUAUUGAUCUGAUAAUUGCAGGAAACAAGUCCCCUAUUUUGUACAAUGAAAGUGUGAUAGAGACGUCAAUCGUAAACUUUUCCAUCCUAAUUAUAGACAGGAUUGUAGUCAUCCAAGAGAAAAUCUCAAAUAUACAUUGAAUAUGUUUGCUUAUUGAUUAUGAACAAAACAAAUAAAAGUAAAGUUGUAUCUGAAUGGAAUUAGCCUUUUGUAUAUGUGACAUGGGUACAAGUAAUCAAUAACUCCUAAUGAUUGAUUACCCUCUCAAUGCUAAGUCAAGAAGAAGAUAGUUUAGAUAGAGUAUUAUUUGAAAUAAUUAUUAUAGCAUUUUUUAUGAUGUGCACAUGAGAUUAAAAAAUAGUUGAAAACAUUAACAAUUAUGGUUAAAAAAUAUAUUUAUGAUGCUAACAAAAUAAUAUUUAGGUAUAAUUUCAGAAACCUUCCUUGGGGUUUUUGACAAUUACACAUAAAUACUCUCCAAUAUCAAAAAUUACAGUGCCCUCCCCUUAAUUGACAUAUUUGAUAACAAAUUAAGUCCAUGUUAGAAAAAGUACUCUUAAAGUAAUGAAUCAGUUUUGUCAAACAAUUAUAUUUCAAGUUUGCCCUCAUUGAAUCUUAAAGAAAAUAAGUUAAAAUUUUGGGCAAGAAAAAUGGCAAUAAAAAAAGGAAGAAAAAUUGGCACCAAGUUCAUCCGCUAAGGACAUGAAAUUAACAUUAAACAAAUCAGCAUUUUGGACAGCAAAGUCCUACAAGAAUUGAUGGUACUUUGUGGACAAUAUAUAGCAUAAAAUGCUAGUGAAUGAGCACAAAAAAAAAAAAGAGGCCAAUUUCAACUGAAUACAAAGGCAAUGAAAGAAACAUGUCUUCAUCAAACUAUCGUCGGAGCUCAUUUCAUGCAGGCACAUCAUUGAGGAUGAAAAAUAGAAACUAUAAUGGGUGUGGAUGGAAAGCAACAAUUAAAAUUUUUUAAAGCAAAAAAAAAAAUUCCUGGCAGGUUAUAUUUUGGUUGUUCUAAGUAUGGCUAUUUCAAGUGGUUUGAUGGCAAUGUAGCCAAAGAAGUGAGUAGUCGAAGACAAGAAGAUCCAACACAAGUUCAAAUAUCAAAAAGCAUUGGCAACAAUGUAGUGUCACCGACCCAAAUAUUGAUAAUGAUCAACAUGAGUUUACUAAUUAUAUUCAUUUUCAUUCAAAUUGUAAAGUUCAUUUGAAAUAUGGAUAUAAUUGUAAGAAUGUACCACAAAAAGUGUCUUGGUAGUUAUAUAGUGGCAGAACUAAAAGGCCAUAAAACGGUGGAUUUAAAUUCAUCUAUGAUAUUUAGUAAGAGUUUAUCUACUGUGAUUCAAAAUCAAAGAUUCUAGAUGUACAAAGCACUAUAAACUAAAUAAACUAAAACAAGUCUUAAAUAUAAUAAACAACAAGGUCAUACACUUCAAACUGGUUGAAUACCCAUAACAAGCAAUCCAAGGCAAGAAAAACAUGUCAACAAGGUUAUACACUUAAUGGCGCCAAAUUGCAUAUAAAAAUACUAUACUUGGAAAACUAGUCUUUUCCCCAUAUUUUUAGUAUUUUAGGGAUUGAUUUUGUGGGCUGUUGAAUAUGACAACCGGUCAUAUCAAAGUGAAAGAGGAGGGCACUGUAAUUUUUUAUAUUGGAAGGUAUUUAUGUGUAAUUGUCAGAAACUUCAGGGGAGGUUUCUGAAAUUAUCCCUAAUAUUUAUACUAUAUAUAAAGGGAGCCUUAAAUUUGAUGUAAACUUUUUUUUGUCAUCUUUUAGAUUUCCAGCUUCACCCUCUCGAUCACUUAAUUAUACCACCAUAUUGCUAAUCAACUUAACCACAAAUUAACUUUCACCCCAAUUAUCUAAAUAUAUAUUGCCUACAUAACUACCUACAAACAUUGUAACCAACAAGUUAAUUAAAAUUCUAUUAAAGAACUAUUUUUUUGACAAAUAUUCAAAAAACUAGUAAAAGAUCAAAAUUUACUUGUUCAUGUAUGAAAAUUUUAUACUAAAUUCUUUCAUAUAAAGGAUCGUUCCGAAAUUCCACAUACAUCGAGUGUGCCUUUAUCGCUAAUUUGAGAUAAUAUGUGUAUCCAAACAUAGUAAUAAUUUCUUCUAUUCUUUGCUUUGUUCGGUAAAAUGGAUUAAAAAAGCAAAUGAAAAAUACCCCACUCGACCUUUACAAAACCGCCCUCCCCAAAGUCAGUGGAUAAAUACCACAGCCCAUGAGCCCACUAGAAAUUUAAAAAACCAUAAACUCCAAGACCACUGGAAAAGCACCCAGCCCCUGGUUUCUGCAACAACUUAUUUACACAAACUUUUGAGAUGACAGAAUAUAAAUAUGGCUGAACUCCCCAACAACAUCAGCACCAAAGAACAUCUUCUCAGAAUUCAGAAAAACAUCUCUAGUACUCAACCAAGCUUCAAGAGUUCCAGAAAGACUCCAUCAUCAACAAGGAAUCUUUACAGUUUUAAAAUUUAUUCUUGCUGAAAAUGAGUUCAACAAGCAGGGCGUGGAUAGCAGCGGUGAGUGUAGGCGCAGUGGAGGCAAUGAAAGAUCAGGGAUUGAAUAGGUGGAACCACACCAUGAGGUCUGUACACCAGCUUGCCAAGAACAACCUCAGGUCCCUGUCUCAGACCAAGCAGCUUUCUCCUUCUGCAUUGGCUUCAUCAAGCAGUAAAGCUAAAGAUCAAGAAAAAC
rnacentral:lncRNA from 1 species